UACAGAGGUCUCAAGCGUUGUUCGGAUUCAUUGGGCGUAAAGGGUGUGUAGGUGGCGCGCUAAGUCGGGUGUGAAAUUUCGGAGCUUAACUCCGAAACUGCAUUCGAUACUGGCGUGCUUGAGGACUGGAGAGGAGACUGGAAUUCAUGGUGAGCAGUGAAAUGCGUAGAGAUCAUGAGGAAGACCAGUGGCGAAGGCGGGUCUCCGGACAGUUCCUGACGCUGAGGCACGAAGGCCAGGGAGCAACGGG
rnacentral:rRNA from 1 species